rnacentral:tRNA from 1 species
GGCGUGGCUUAGUGGAAAGAGCCCGGGCUUGGGAGUCGGAGGUUGUGGGUUCUAAUCCCGCCCCCGCCA